rnacentral:rRNA from 1 species
AUUGAACGCUGGCGGCAGGCCUAACACAUGCAAGUCGAGCGGAUGAAGGGAGCUUGCUCCUGGAUUCAGCGGCGGACGGGUGAGUAAUGCCUAGGAAUCUGCCUGGUAGUGGGGGAUAACGUCCGGAAACGGGCGCUAAUACCUCAUACGUCCUGAGGGAGAAAGCGGGGGAUCUUCGGACCUCACGCUAUCAGAUGAGCCUAGGUCGGAUUAGCUAGUUGGUGGGGUAAAGGCCUACCAAGGCGACGAUCCGUAACUGGUCUGAGAGGAUGAUCAGUCACACUGGAACUGAGACACGGUCCAGACUCCUACGGGAGGCAGCAGUGGGGAAUAUUGGACGAUGGGCGAAAGCCUGAGCCAGCCAAGCCGCGUGUGUGAAGAAGGUCUUCGGAUUGUAAAGCACUUUAAGUUGGGAGGAAGAGCAGUAAGUUAAUACCUUGCUGUUUUGACGUUACCAACAGAAUAAGCACCGGCUAACUUCGUG